rfam:Hordeum vulgare subsp. vulgare, WGS project CAJW01000000 data, contig: morex_contig_759244
AUGGUACUCCCUCCGUCCGGAAAUACUUGUCUUAGAAAUGCAUGUAUCUAGACUUAUUUUAGUUAUAGAUACAUCCAUUUUAUUCAUUUUUAGGAUAGGUAUUUUCGGACGGAGGGAGUAGAAC